CCUGCGAGCUUCUAUUGGCUGAUAAGGGACAUGUGACCAAGCUGGUAUUGGCUAAUGCAGGUCAUAUUUUGGGAAUAUAUCAGGAACGGUAAAUCAUAGAGAGCUGAGACCCGGUCUACAACCUUCCAGGACACCUGAUGUAACUGUGUGCCAAAUUUGGUGAAGAUUGGUC